UACGUAGGGUGCGAGCGUUUGUCCGGAAUUAUUGGGCGUAAAGAGCUCGUAGGCGGUUUGUCGCGUCUGCUGUGAAAACCCGAGGCUCAACCUCGGGCCUGCAGUGGGUACGGGGCAGACUAGAGUGCGGUAGGGGAGAUUGGAAUUCCUGGUGUAGCGGUGGAAUGCGCAGAUAUCAGGAGGAACACCGAUGGCGAAGGCAGAUCACUGGGCCGCAACUGACGCUGAGGAGCGAAAGCGUGGGGAGCGAACAGG
rnacentral:rRNA from 1 species